UAGGGAAUAUUGGGCAAUGGAAGGAAUUCUGACCCAGCCAUGCCGCGUGCAGGAUGAAGGCGCUAUGCGUUGUAAACUGCUUUUGUCAGGGAAGAAAACGGCUAUGCGUAGCAACUUGACGGUACCUGAAGAAUAAGCAUCGGCUAACUCCGUGCCAGCAGCCGCGGUAAUACGGAGGAUGCAAGCGUUGUCCGGAUUUAUUGGGUUUAAAGGGUGCGUAGGCGGUCUUAUAAGUCAGUGGUUAAAUUACCUUGCUUAACGAGGGAUAUGCCAUUGAUACUGUUAGACUUGAAUACUGUUUGGGUAGGCGGAAUUGGUAGUGUAGCGGUGAAAUGCUUAGAUAUUACCAGGAACACCGAUAGCGAAGGCAGCUUACUGAAGAGAUAUUGACGCUGAGGCA
rnacentral:rRNA from 1 species